rnacentral:rRNA from 1 species
GUAAACCCAAGGUUUCCAGGGGAAGGUUCGUCCGCCCUGGGUUAGUCGGGACCUAAGCUGAGGCCGAAAGGCGUAGGGGAUGGACAACAGGUUGAUCUUCCUGUACUACCGAUAACAGGUUGAGAGAUGGGAUGACACAGUAGGAAAAGCUAAGCACACUGUUGGUUAUGUGUGCCCAAGCAUUGAGGCAGUCAAAGUAGGCAAA